CAGCGCGCGCGCAGGCCGAGCCGAGCCUGGAUUGACCCGCGCCCCUGGUCCACCUCGAGCGCUCCCGAGCCGCCUUGUGCAAGUAGAACACCCAGGGUAACCUCGCAUCCCCUCCUCGAUCUUCUCUGGUUAGGGCGAAAUGCAUCUCGCGAGAAGCAUCUCCGACCGCGCCGUUCGCCGGGUGAUUUCACCGCCCAGAGGGAGAGGAACAAGCCGGCCGACUUCACCGAAGCUCGCCGGAGUUCACGUCUUCGCCACCGCCGUUCGAGGACGCCCCGUCGCCCUUUAACCUCACCAACACCUCCGCCACUCACCGCCGCACCCAUCCGUCGCUUCAACUUCGCCGGAGACUCGCCGGAGAGCCUCCGCCGCCGACGCCCGAUCGCCGCCGCAUCCUCUGUUUUGCUGAUUGUCCGGAGUGCGAUGUGAGCUAUUGUCAGG